rnacentral:rRNA from 1 species
UACGAAGGGGGCUAGCGUUGCUCGGAAUCACUGGGCGUAAAGCGCACGUAGGCGGCUUGUUAAGUCAGGGGUGAAAUCCUGGAGCUCAACUCCAGAACUGCCUUUGAUACUGGCGAGCUUGAGUCCGGGAGAGGUGAGUGGAACUCCGAGUGUAGAGGUGAAAUUCGUAGAUAUUCGGAAGAACACCAGUGGCGAAGGCGGCUCACUGGCCCGGUACUGACGCUGAGGUGCGAAAGCUAGGGGAGCAAACGGG